UAACAAGAAAUUUUUUUAAACGGCUGCAAUUAAUAAUUGUGCUAAGGUAGCGUAAUCAUUUGCCCCCUAAUUAGGGGAAGGUAUGAAUGGUUUGACGUGGGAAAAACUGUCUCUUUUGCAUAUGAAGAAGUUUAUUUUUGAGUGAAAAAGCUUAGAUGGUUUUAAAAGACGAGAAGACCCUAUCGAACUUGAAUUAGGUAUUCAAAUUUUUUAAGUAUUUAAAGUUUAGUUGGGGAAACUUAAAGUAAAAAAAAACGCUUUAUUUUUUUGUAAUGAUCCUGUAGUAUGGAAAAACGAAAAAGUUACCGUAGGGAUAACAGCGCUUUCUUCUCUGAGAGGACUAAUUAAAGAGUUGGUUGCGACCUCGAU
rnacentral:rRNA from 1 species